rnacentral:rRNA from 1 species
AGAGUUUGAUCCUGGCUCAGGAUGAACGCUAGCGACAGGCUUAACACAUGCAAGUCGAGGGGCAGCGGGGGUAGCAAUACCCGCCGGCGACCGGCGCACGGGUGAGUAACGCGUAUGCAACUUGCCUAUCAGAGGGGGAUAACCCGGCGAAAGUCGGACUAAUACCGCAUGAAGCAGGGAUCCCGCAUGGGAAUAUUUGCUAAAGAUUCAUCGCUGAUAGAUAGGCAUGCGUUCCAUUAGGCAGUUGGCGGGGUAACGGCCCACCAAACCGACGAUGGAUAGGGGUUCUGAGAGGAAGGUCCCCCACAUUGGUACUGAGACACGGACCAAACUCCUACGGGAGGCAGCAGUGAGGAAUAUUGGUCAAUGGCCGAGAGGCUGAACCAGCCAAGUCGCGUGAGGGAUGAAGGUUCUAUGGAUCGUAAACCUCUUUUAUAAGGGAAUAAAGUGCGGGACGUGUCCCGUUUUGUAUGUACCUUAUGAAUAAGGAUCGGCUAACUCCGUGCCAGCAGCCGCGGUAAUACGGAGGAUCCGAGCGUUAUCCGGAUUUAUUGGGUUUAAAGGGUGCGUAGGCGGCCUUUUAAGUCAGCGGUGAAAGUCUGUGGCUCAACCAUAGAAUUGCCGUUGAAACUGGGGGGCUUGAGUAUGUUUGAGGCAGGCGGAAUGCGUGGUGUAGCGGUGAAAUGCUUAGAUAUCACGCAGAACCCCGAUUGCGAAGGCAGCCUGCCAAGCCAUGACUGACGCUGAUGCACGAAAGCGUGGGGAUCAAACAGGAUUAGAUACCCUGGUAGUCCACGCAGUAAACGAUGAUCACUAGCUGUUUGCGAUACACUGUAAGCGGCACAGCGAAAGCGUUAAGUGAUCCACCUGGGGAGUACGCCGGCAACGGUGAAACUCAAAGGAAUUGACGGGGGCCCGCACAAGCGGAGGAACAUGUGGUUUAAUUCGAUGAUACGCGAGGA